UUAUAUUGCAAGUAAUAAUUGUAAGUUUCUGGAAGUAAUAAUAUCUUUAUGCAGAUCAAAAGCUUUAUCUGUACAUUUAGUGAUUACCUCUAGCAUCAGCAAAUCUGAACGAAAGUAAGAGUAGAUGCAUUGGCUUAUAAAGAUAUUCAAACCCUUGCAGUUUUCACAUCUGUGGAGAGAGCAGGCUAUUGCUGACUCAUUUCUCAACUCGAACCGUGUCUACUUAAUCAUAUUUCUGUUUUAUAGCCUUAAUGUAUUCAUAACUGUCCACUCUCGUUCUCUUCCUCUCCUCCUCCGCUGAUGUGUGGUGAGCGUUCUGGCACAAAAUGGCUGCCGUGCAUCACCCAGGUGGGUGCUGUAUGUUGGAGGUUGGAGAAAUCAGUUUCCCCUCAUCACUGUAAAAAAGAGCACUACAUAAAUGACCAGUUUCUUCCCGGUCCAGGCAAACAGGAAACCUGACGAUGUUGAGCUCUGGGAAUUCGUUCAGAAGCUCCUUUGGGUCUUGGGAGCAUUCAGACUCCUCUCUCUGUGUGGCCGGCCUCCCAUACUGUGAAUGCUGUGAGGUGAUAUCUUUUCAACCUAAGGCCAGGCUUGUCUGUUUCUUUGCAGUCGGACUGUAAUACCCCUACCUCCGGAAUAGACCAGCAGCAUUGCACUACCGCCCUGCUAGGCUCAUGCAGUCCACCUGGGAAUAAAAGAACGCUUUCCCAGUCCUGUUGCGUUUUCGCCCAAAAGAAGUGAAGGUCGAAGGCAAGUUCAGGGGCGGCCGAGUGACUCAUCCAGUCGUAGUCACGCUGACUCUGAAUCACUCCUCGCGGCCAACGAAUCACCCUCCAGUCAUACAGGCCCAGGGGAACACUCCUAUUGCUUUUGCUCUGUUUGGGCUGAUGACUCCAUUGGGCUUGCGCAACAUUGGAUUCAACGCUCAAAGGCUUUUUAUAUGAAUCGCAUUUGAGUAAUUAUCAUGACAACCUCAUCAUUACAAAUAUGGAAUCACUCCACCGUCCCUGUUCUACUUCAGUUUAAUAAAGUCAAACUGCAUGGAA